UAAAGAACCUGCCUCAUAGACUGGGACAACUAUUGGAAACGAUAGCUAAUACCGGAUAACAGCAUUAACUGCAUGGUUGAUGUUUAAAAGUUGGUUUUGCUAACACCAUGAGAUGGCUUUGCGGUGCAUUAGCUAGUUGGUGGGGUAAAGGCCUACCAAGGCGACGAUGCAUAGCCGACCUGAGAGGGUGAUCGGCCACACUGGGACUGAGACACGGCCCAG
rnacentral:rRNA from 1 species